rnacentral:lncRNA from 1 species
AAGAGGCAAGGUUAUUAUAAUUGGUUUCCCGAAUCCGAUGUCGCCUGCUUAUCAGUCUCUGUUACUUUCUCAGGGGCCGCUCGAACAGGGAGACAGGAAGGCUCAUAUUUUCCUCCUUAUCUAGUGGUCCAGGGAGACAGGGAGACAGGAAGGCCCUCAUUCUUCCUCCUUAUCUGGUGGUCCAGGGAGACAGGAAGACAGGAAGGCUCUCAUUCUUCCUCCUUAUCUGGUGGUCUCUUGGCCGGCUAUCAGAAGUUACUGCACAUCCGUGCAAAGUCAGUAGUUUUUCUCCGAAGAAAUCCCUUGUUCUUUUCGCGCCUAAACCCAGGCCUCAAUGUUAACCCUUCAAAACCCCUUAGUGGCACGAAUUGCUGGACCAUUUCUUACAAUUCCUCCCUUGCUACCUCUAGCUCCGGCAGUCAGCGCAGCUCGAGGUACCUCCUUUUUGCCAGCCAGUGAGUCAUGUCAGGCUGCACAGUGGACAAAACUGAUGGUGUGAGCAGCAAUAGGGUGUCAGCUGGUGAAUGGAAAGGAGGUACUAGGGAUGGGAUG